GUUGUAUGGUUAAGUGACUAAGCGUACACGGUGGAUGCCUGGGCAGUCAGAGGCGAUGAAGGACGUACUAACUUGCGAUAAGCGCAGAUAAGGCAGUAAGAGCCGUUUGAGUCUGCGAUUUCCGAAUGGGGAAACCCAACUGCAUAAGCAGUUACUGUUAACUGAAUACAUAGGUUAACAGAGCAAACCGGGGGAACUGAAACAUCUAAGUACCCCGAGGAGAAGAAAUCAACCGAGAUUCCGGUAGUAGCGGCGAGCGAACCUGGAUUAGCCCUUAAGCACUCGGUGAAGUAGGUGAACAAGCUGGAAAGCUUGGCGAUACAGGGUGAUAGCCCCGUAACCGACGCUUCAUCGAGCGUGAAAUCGAGUAGGGCGGGACACGUGAUAUCCUGUCUGAAUAUGGGGGGACCAUCCUCCAAGGCUAAAUACUCCUGACUGACCGAUAGUGAACCAGUACCGUGAGGGAAAGGCGAAAAGAACCCCUGUGAGGGGAGUGAAAUAGAACCUGAAACCGUGUACGUACAAGCAGUAGGAGCACCUUCGUGGUGUGACUGCGUACCUUUUGUAUAAUGGGUCAGCGACUUAUAUUCAGUGGCAAGGUUAACCGUAUAGGGGAGCCGUAGCGAAAGCGAGUCUUAACUGGGCGCUCAGUCUCUGGAUAUAGACCCGAAACCGGGUGAUCUAGCCAUGGGCAGGUUGAAGGUUGAGUAACAUCAACUGGAGGACCGAACCGACUAAUGUUGAAAAAUUAGCGGAUGACUUGUGGCUAGGGGUGAAAGGCCAAUCAAACUCGGAGAUAGCUGGUUCUCCCCGAAAGCUAUUUAGGUAGCGCCUCGGACGAAUACUACUGGGGGUAGAGCACUGUUAAGGCUAGGGGGUCAUCCCGACUUACCAACCCUUUGCAAACUCCGAAUACCAGUAAGUACUAUCCGGGAGACACACGGCGGGUGCUAACGUCCGUCGUGGAGAGGGAAACAACCCAGACCGCCAGCUAAGGUCCCAAAGUAUUGCUAAGUGGGAAACGAUGUGGGAAGGCUCAGACAGCUAGGAUGUUGGCUUAGAAGCAGCCAUCAUUUAAAGAAAGCGUAAUAGCUCACUAGUCGAGUCGGCCUGCGCGGAAGAUGUAACGGGGCUAAGCAAUACACCGAAGCUGCGGCAAUAUCUUUUAGAUAUUGGGUAGGGGAGCGUUCUGUAAGCCGUUGAAGGUGAAUCGUAAGGUUUGCUGGAGGUAUCAGAAGUGCGAAUGCUGACAUGAGUAACGACAAAGGGGGUGAAAAACCUCCUCGCCGGAAGACCAAGGGUUCCUGUCCAACGUUAAUCGGGGCAGGGUGAGUCGACCCCUAAGGUGAGGCCGAAAGGCGUAAUCGAUGGGAAACGGGUUAAUAUUCCCGUACUUCUGACUAUUGCGAUGGGGGGACGGAGAAGGCUAGGUGGGCCAGGCGACGGUUGUCCUGGUUCAAGUGCGUAGGCUUGAGAGUUAGGUAAAUCCGGCUCUCUCUAAGGCUGAGACACGACGUCGAGCUACUACGGUAGUGAAGUCAUUGAUGCCAUGCUUCCAGGAAAAGCCUCUAAGCUUCAGAUAGUCAGGAAUCGUACCCCAAACCGACACAGGUGGUCGGGUAGAGAAUACCAAGGCGCUUGAGAGAACUCGGGUGAAGGAACUAGGCAAAAUGGUACCGUAACUUCGGGAGAAGGUACGCUCUUGAUGGUGAAGUCCCUCGCGGAUGGAGCUGACGAGAGUCGCAGAUACCAGGUGGCUGCAACUGUUUAUUAAAAACACAGCACUGUGCAAAAUCGCAAGAUGACGUAUACGGUGUGACGCCUGCCCGGUGCCGGAAGGUUAAUUGAUGGGGUUAGCGCAAGCGAAGCUCUUGAUCGAAGCCCCGGUAAACGGCGGCCGUAACUAUAACGGUCCUAAGGUAGCGAAAUUCCUUGUCGGGUAAGUUCCGACCUGCACGAAUGGCGUAAUGAUGGCCACGCUGUCUCCACCCGAGACUCAGUGAAAUUGAAAUCGCUGUGAAGAUGCAGUGUACCCGCGGCUAGACGGAAAGACCCCGUGAACCUUUACUACAGCUUGGCACUGAACAUUGAACCUACAUGUGUAGGAUAGGUGGGAGGCUAUGAAGACGUGACGCCAGUUGCGUUGGAGCCGUCCUUGAAAUACCACCCUUGUAUGUUUGAUGUUCUAACUUAGCCCCAUUAUCUGGGGUGAGGACAGUGCCUGGUGGGUAGUUUGACUGGGGCGGUCUCCUCCCAAAGAGUAACGGAGGAGCACGAAGGUGGGCUAAUCACGGUUGGACAUCGUGAGGUUAGUGCAAUGGCAUAAGCCCGCUUAACUGCGAGAAUGACGGUUCGAGCAGGUGCGAAAGCAGGUCAUAGUGAUCCGGUGGUUCUGUAUGGAAGGGCCAUCGCUCAACGGAUAAAAGGUACUCCGGGGAUAACAGGCUGAUACCGCCCAAGAGUUCAUAUCGACGGCGGUGUUUGGCACCUCGAUGUCGGCUCAUCACAUCCUGGGGCUGAAGUCGGUCCCAAGGGUAUGGCUGUUCGCCAUUUAAAGUGGUACGCGAGCUGGGUUUAGAACGUCGUGAGACAGUUCGGUCCCUAUCUGCCGUGGGCGUUGGAAGAUUGAAGGGGGCUGCUCCUAGUACGAGAGGACCGGAGUGGACGAACCUCUGGUGUUCGGGUUGUGUCGCCAGACGCAUUGCCCGGUAGCUAAGUUCGGAAUUGAUAAGCGCUGAAAGCAUCUAAGCGCGAAGCGAGCCCUGAGAUGAGUCUUCCCUGA
rnacentral:rRNA from 1 species